GGCAAUCUGGGGUCCAGAAAUCAAUGAAUAAAUUGCCAUCAACCAGUGAAUAAAACAGUCAUCUGAUACUCGUGCAGAAGAGGUGGGCAGCACAGACAGAUCGUAAACCUGUGGUACUCCCAGCUCUCCACUGUGCCAGUGGCAUAUCCACAACUUUUGAGAAAUCAUCUCCAAUGAGCAAGAUCGUCUUUAAGUAGAGUGCUGAAGAUCCAGUCCUACAUUUUCAAGACCAUA